CCUACGGGAGGCAGCAGUGAGGAAUAUUGGUCAAUGGGCUUACGCCUGAACCAGCCAAGUCGCGUGAGGGAAGACUGCCCUAUGGGUUGUAAACCUCUUUUGUCAGGGAGCAACGCCGGCUACGUGUAGCCGGACUGAGAGUACCUGCAGACAAAGCAUCGGCUAACUCCGUGCCAGCAGCCGCGGUAAUACGGAGUAUGCGAGCGUUAUCCGGAUUUAUUGGGUUUAAAGGGUGCGUAGGCGGAAUGCCAAGUCAGCGGUAAAAUCGCGGGGCUCAACCUCGCUCCGCCGUUGAAACUGGCGGUCUUGAGUGGGCGAGAAGUAGGCGGAAGGCGUGGUGUAGCGGUGAAAUGCAUAGAUAUCACGCAGAACUCCGAUUGCGAAGGCAGCAUACCGGCGCCCAACUGACGCUGAAGCACGAAAGCGUGGGUAUCGAACAGGAUUAGAUACCCCUGUAGUC
rnacentral:rRNA from 1 species